rnacentral:rRNA from 1 species
AGAGAGCGGCGUACGGGUGCGUAACACGUGUGCAACCUACCUUUAUCUGGGGGAUAGCCUUUCGAAAGGAAGAUUAAUACCCCAUAAUAUAAUGAUUGGCAUCAAUUAUUAUUGAAAACUCCGGUGGAUAGAGAUGGGCACGCGCAAGAUUAGAUAGUUGGUGAGGUAACGGCUCACCAAGUCUGUGAUCUUUAGGGGUCCUGAGAGGGAGAUCCCCCACACUGGUACUGAGACACGGACCAGACUCCUACGGGAGGCAGCAGUGAGGAAUAUUGGACAAUGGGUGAGAGCCUGAUCCAGCCAUCCCGCGUGAAGGAUGACGGUCCUAUGGAUUGUAAACUUCUUUUGUACAGGGAUAAACCUAUUCUCGUGAGGGUAGCUGAAGGUACUGUACGAAUAAGCACCGGCUAACUCCGUGCCAGCAGCCGCGGUAAUACGGAGGGUGCAAGCGUUAUCCGGAUUUAUUGGGUUUAAAGGGUCCGUAGGCGGACCCGUAAGUCAGUGGUGAAAUCUCAUAGCUCAACUAUGAAACUGCCAUUGAUA